UUUUAUAAAGUAUAUUAUUGUACAUUUAAUUUCCAAUUAAAAAGUUAAAUAUUCAUUUAUAUAAAAA
rnacentral:tRNA from 1 species